rnacentral:rRNA from 1 species
CGAUACUUGGUGUGAAUUGCAGAAUUCAGUGAAUCAUCGAAUCUUUGAACGCACAUUGCGCCCGCCAGUAUUCUGGCGGGCAUGCCUGUUCGAGCGUCAUUUCAACCCUCAAGCUCAGCUUGGUGUUGGGACUCGCGGUAACCCGCGUUCCCCAAAUCGAUUGGCGGUCACGUCGAGCUUCCAUAGCGUAGUAAUCAUACACCUCGUUACUGGUAAUCGUCGCGGCCACGCCGUUAAACCCCAACUUCUGAAUGUUGACCUCGGAUCAGGUAGGAAUACCCGCUGAACUUAAGCAUAUCAAUAAGCGGAGGA